UUUUGGGUGAGCAAUUAGAGUGGAAAAAUUUGAUUAUAAGCUAAUUGUGAAUGUGUUUUAUUUGUUUUAUUUGUUCUUUUUCUAGUGUUUAAUGUGAUAUGUUUUAUUAUAUUUUUUAAUAUUUCAUCUUAAAAUUGUAGUUCUAUAUUUGGUGCUACUCGGUAGUGUUUUCGGUUUGGUUGUGUCCUAGAACAUAGCAGACGUUGUCCAAGAUAGAGGGUCUCUUCGUCUAUAGAUAUAAAUGCUUUGCAUCUUUACAAAAUGUUGAAGUGUUAGAUUUGAGAAUAAUUAAAAACAGCUUUAGUUGCAAUAUCAUAUGCCAUUUGACGAUAUAA
rnacentral:lncRNA from 1 species